AGCCAGGCUUAAUUUAUUUCUGUACACACAUUUAGCUGUUAACUUCCUGUUAAAUGGACAAGCAGGAGUUCUAUUAUUCUGUGACAUAUGUCACGGCUGUUUAAAAUGAUCUGAUUCAGGAAUAAAUUUUGCUCAUAACUGGAGACUUUCUACAUGCACAGACAUAGAAGUGAGAAAACACAACAUGAAACUCUAACUGCAUUUUGCUGUAAACAGGAAACAUAAACUUACUUUACACAAUAUGACCCCUUUAAUUCCACAACAGGCUGCACAGGAAGUGCUCCCAUAUGGCAGAAAAUUUGAGAAAUACAAAUCAGUGACAGCAAAUAGUUAUAAUUAAGAUUAUUUAUUUCCAGUGUUGUGUUGAGAGAGGCAUUGCACAGGCCAGAUGUUUCAAACAUUGUCUCAUGCAGUUCCAAAGUUGUUGUUUUUUUUUUAAUUCCUCCCAAAUUAUUGUGCCCAUGCAUUUUCCUGCAGUUGACAAAUAGAAAGGGAAGAAAGAAAAUAAAGAUGAGAAUGCCACACACACACAUUCAUGAUCCUGUGAAAAUGUACGGGAAAAAUAGAAAAAACAAAAAAAUAACAAAAAAACAAACAUUAAAAACUGGAAUGCCUGUAAGACUGUUCUCAAAAAUAAAGUACAAAAUUAAAUAAAUUUCCUCU